ACUGCUCAGGCGAAAGUGAUGCUGGCAUCUGUGCAGCAUCGGCUGUACUUAAACAGGUGAGACUGAAAAAACAAAGUUUUACAGGGUAGCAGACAUAGUAUCUGAAAAUUCAGAUUGCAGUGGGCCCUGCAGUUGGACAAAGGCACAAGAAGAGAGAGUAGAAGAAAUUGUGGGAGUCUCAAAGUCCAGAACAGAUUAUAUGGACCAGACAAGACAAUUUUAGACUCACGCUUAUUGUGAUAUCCUCAGUGCUUGUUAUCAUAUAUUCUUCAGAGGUCUGCCCACUACGAUAAAUUGUACCGUGCCAGGAAAAAUUAAAACGGAAAUGAAAAAUGAAGAAGUUGGUUAUACCAGAAAUCAGUGAAGCUGAACCGCUUCCUGAAGAGCACUGAAUUUUCUAUACCAGAUUCUACUUCAGUGGCUAGGACCUUUAUGGCCACUUAUUCUUUUGCUCUGGGUUCUGAAAAAACAUCGUGGAUCCAUCCCUAAAGUAGAAAUGUUCUUUUCCGUCCCGCAAGCAAGGCUAAAGAUUGGAGGAGAAGGAAUGUGAAUCUCAUUCAGGAUUGCAGUCAAGCCAUUAAAAGUUUUCAGCUUCAGAACAAAAUGAUUUGGGAAAUACGAUCAGUUUGCUUACUCUAUCGACAAUGUUUAAAAGUUGUAGAUGGUUCAAGUGACUCGACUCAAAUAACGACAAUCUUUGCAUGUCAAUAAUUUCUACCGUUUAUGGAGUGAAAGGUAGUUUUGAGUUUGGAAAAGAAGCAGCUGUUAAUAUCAGCCUGUAAUGGGAUUCAAUGUUGAAUAUGGGAAAGAGGCAAAAAGUAAAUAGAUGCCCGAAAGUUAUCCUUGCACUGAGGAUGGGUUUAAAGUGCUUUAUAUCCUAGGGCCCACCUUACUGUAGAGGUAUAAUGGGGAAAUAUUUCAAUUAGAAACCCAUUAACAAGCAUUUAAUCCAUCUUUAAGGCAUUAGAGGAAAUAGAAUCAAACAUUUACUGUACAAAUCUGCUGCAAGCAGACUUUAACCCAUUUACAGACUUAUCCUUCUGAUGUAUUGUACUAUGGCUACUCAUGAGUCAGAAUAGUAAAGAUUUUAUUUGUACUCCUUUUUUCCAAAGUUGUAGAAUCUAUUCUAACAAGUGUCUUGAUCAAUCAGCUGAUAUUAUUGUUUUGAAUGUAUGUGUGUAUAUUGCCUAUUUAUUUGAUCUUUUCCACCCCCUACUUGAAAAGGUGGGGGUUUUAUACAACAGCAACAAAAGUUUUACUGAAUGUAAUCUUGACGACUAAGUGAUUCAGAUUAUUUGAAGACGAAUUCUACUGGAUCAUAUCGGACUUUUCCUAGUCCCUGAGACCCUAACUUGUGAGGUUUUUUAGCAACAAUCACAAGUCAGGCUCUUGGGACCUAGGCGGAGGGGAACCAGCAGCUUUGGACUUUAUUGAUUGUUUACUGCAAUAUUAACAGAACCAAAGGAGAUUUUCUUAUCUGGGUGAAAAUAUUUAUUUCAGAUGUUAAGAACUAGUGUUAUGCUACAAAAAAAUUGCUUCUAUGUAUUGUACAAUAUAAAGAUUCUACAUAAUUUGUAUGUUUGGAAACCUAUAUUGUAGUGGAUAACGUAACAUUUAGAAUUAAAAUUUAAAAUGAAUGACAGAUAGCUACAUAAAUCAAGUACUGAAGGAUAAAUGCACUGUUUUCAACCAUAAUUUGCUAUUACGGAUCCUUCUGGUGGAUAAAUAAAAUGAAACACAUUUCCAAAUGUAUUGCUAUAACAUUUAAUGAACUUUUUGAAACUUACAAAUUAUACAUUGAUCUGUGAGGCCUAGCAAAUGCAUUCAUACUGUUGUCUUUGGGGUAAUAAUCUGAGCGUUCAAGAAAACUGUUGCUUCUCUUUUCCUGUAAGGAAGUGCAGAGAUUCCUUUAUAGUUGUUACCAUAUCUCUUAGUCUAUAUAAUAAUACAAUAAAGGUACUCAUUUGGUAUAUUAACCCUUUACUCUGAAAGAAAAGAGAAACCUGGUGUCAAAUUCAUAAUCCUGUGUUGAAGUCACUUUGCACACAGAACCACAUACUUUUCAUUUACUUACUGUAUCUCAGCAGAGAAGACCGGACACCAGGAAUUAGGCUCAGACUUCAGUCUCUUCCCUCACUUUUUACUUUUCACUUAUAAAAACAGACUAACUUUUGUGUUGUCCCCAUAUGCUGAAUACUUCAAUGGCUUCAGCAUAAGAUUUACCAGGACACAGCUACGUUGUAAUGUCUAUCACUCCUAAAGUGCUGAACCAGAACACAGAAAAAUUGACUGUUUUUCUUAAUGUUUUAUAAGUAAUUUGGUCCUGAUUAAUUUUUGUUUCAGUUUCCUGUAUCUAACCCAAGAUGGUGCAGCACCCUGUUAAUAGUGUACUACUGUCACACUUCACUGAUUGAAACAAAGGCUUUACUUAGGGCAAGCAUCUAAACAAUUUGGUCAUUUUGAAACGGAUAUUUUGGCUCCAGUUUAUUUUUUCCACAUAUGUGGGAGGAAUUGUGUUUUAUUGUAAUGCUGUUGUUAAAAUAAAUUAUUA